CAAAGACGGAGGGUAAACGCGGGGAGAAAGGAAAGAAGUGACUCAAGAUUCAAGAGGUUGUAGAUGUACAGCAGCAGUGAAAUGGGAUUGCAACCACCCAAGCUACUGUGCAAGUGAGAAUGGAAACAGAAAGUUUUAAUGUAUUGCACUCUGACAAGAGCUCUGAUAACAGCUGUCCAGAGACGAUGAAGUGGCGCCACAAAUGAAAUAUGGAGCAACCGCCAUGUCGUCCUCCGUACAUCUGGGAACGAAGGCGGGCUAAGCAAUUUGGGAAGUUGUUGUCCAGAGGAAUUUCACGCGUUAGCUUUGGGUGAAGCAUUUCAGACACGUUGGCCAUGAUAGGACCAUUUGCUGGGCCGCUCAUUACAAUGGAUCGCCAUUGCGUUAUACAAGCUUGCCUUUUGUGCUGAGUAAACAACAGUACAUCGUUAUAUUUACGGAGUCUGCGAAGCAAUAUAAUCAAAACGUACUUCUUAAGAUUUGCCAUGGUUCGUCGAAGCCUUCUGCUGACAUUUGUGUUUGGAGAUCCUGGUAGGUUGUGGCUUUUCUUUGUCGCUUGUUGUUGUGCUUUAAUUAGUUCAAGAAAAGUUAAAGCCUCUUCUUCGGUCCAAACAUACUGGCUGCUGUCGUCGUCGUCUGCCGCCAUUUUUCCUGUGCAGUGGAGUGAAGUCACGUGACCAUGAAUGUCACCGUUUAUUCGCUAAACCUGUUUCCGUAGCAACUUAUUCACAUUUUCCUUUUAUCGAUACACCAACUUUUCCACCUCCCCCGAGCGGAAAAACUUUUUUUUUUUUUUUUUUUUUUUUUUUUUUUUUUGCGAUAUUCAGAGAUUUCAUCAAUGUUUGCAUUCAGGUUUUUAUUGUGCAAAUUGAAAAUGGGAAUAAAAACAGGUGGAUGAAAACCAACCCAUUUUGAAUAAGGAAUGGAUGAAAUAAGCUGAUUGAAGCUGAAUUUUCCAUUCUGGACCAAGGCAGAAAACCGAGCUGCUGUUUAGCGCCUGCAGCUCCCAUAUUUCCUGCAGCGCCCACUCUCACUCACAAUCUGGCAAGCUGGUUCUUGAUGUGAGGCAGGGCGAGCUACAGCAUGCAGAUCAGGGAUGACUGGCAUCCUGUGACGGCACAUUACAACGUUCCCUCGAGCAAAUCUCCAAUACUAUGCCUGUCUCGUCUCGUCUCAUCGUCUGCUGCUUAUCCGGGACCCAGACUUCCCUCUCCCCAGACACUUCCGCCCCAGCGUGUCCUGGGUCUUCCCCGGGGCCUCCUUCCAGUUGGGACAUGCCCGGACCACCCGGAUGCCCCCUAGGAGGCUUCCAGGGGGCGUCUGAAGCAGAUGCCCAAGCCACCUCAACUGGUUCCCCUCGAUGCGGAGGAGCAGCGGCUCUUCUCCGAGAUCCUCACCGUAUCUCUACGGGAGCACCCGGCCACCCUGCCAAGGGAACUAUGCCGGUGCUGCGCUAUAUCAUCUGCCAGUCCUUUGUGUCGACUCGCCCAGUGCAGACCUCCAGUGACCAACAGCAAAGAUGACUUCUUGCUGUUUUAAUUUACCGUAUAUCACCAAUUAAUCGCCCGGCCGCAAAUAGCUGCCUGGUUCUUAUAAACGCCUGGUGUCUGCACCCAU